AAUAAAAUUAUUUAUGGUUUAAAAAUUUAUUAUAAAUUUAUUUUACAUAUAAAUUUUAGUGUUAAUUUUUAAUUUAUUUAAAUAAUAAUUAAUAUUUAUUUGUAGUAAUUAGAAUUAAAAAUUUAAGUAAUUAAGAUUUAGUAAUAUUUAAAUUAAUAACAAAUUUUGUGCCAGCAGUUGCGGUUAUACAAAAAUUAAAUUAAAUUUUUUUAGGGAUUAAUUAAUAAUAGAUUAUAUAAUAAAAUUAAAAUUUAAAUUAUUAAGUGAAAUUUUAAUUUAUGAAAAUUUUAUAUUGAAUUAUGAAUUAAAAAAUUUUAUUAAAAACUAGGAUUAGAUACCCUAUUAUUAAAAAUUUAAAUUAAUAAUACUAAAAUAGUAUAUAAUUAUUUAUAAAAACUUAAAUAAUUUGGCGGUAUUUUAGUUUAUUUAGAGGAAUCUGUUUAUUAAUUGAUAUUCCACGAAUAAAUUUACUUAAUUUAUUUAAUUUUGUAUAUCGUUGUUAAAAAAAUAUUUUAAAAUAAUAAUAAUAUUUUAAUUUUUAUAUUAAAAGUUAAAUCAGAUCAAGAUGCAGAUUAUAAUUAAGAAUAUAAUGGAUUACAAUAAAUUUAUUUAAUUGGAUGUUAUUUUUAAAAAUUAAUUGAAAUUGGAUUUAAAUGUAAUUUUAUUUAAUUUAUUAAAAUGAUUUUAAUUUAAAAUAUGUACAUAUUGCCCGUCGCUUUCAUUAAUAAAUUGAAAUAAGUCGUAACAAAGUAGAGGUACUGGAAAGUGUUUCUAGAAAGAGUA